rnacentral:rRNA from 1 species
GAUGAACGCUAGCGGCAGGCUUAAUACAUGCAAGUCGAGGGGCAACACGAGUAGCAAUACUUGGUGGCGACCGGCGCACGGGUGCGUAACACGUAUACAAUCUACCUUAAACAGGGGGAUAGCCUUUCGAAAGAGAGAUUAAUACCCCGUAAUAAAUUUGAUGGCAUCAUUAGAUUUUGAAAGCUCCGGCGGUUUGAGAUGAGUAUGCGUCUGAUUAGCUAGUUGGUGAGGUAACGGCUCACCAAGGCGACGAUCAGUAGGGGAUCUGAGAGGACUAACCCCCACACUGGUACUGAGACACGGACCAGACUCCUACGGGAGGCAGCAGUAAGGAAUAUUGGUCAAUGGGGGCAACCCUGAACCAGCCAUGCCGCGUGCAGGAUGACGGCCCUAUGGGUUGUAAACUGCUUUUAUACCAGAGAAAACCCGAGUACGUGUACUCGGUUGAUAGUAUGGUAAGAAUAAGCAUCGGCUAACUUCGUG